CAAGUGAACAUUAUUUUAAUAUUUUGUGUGACCUCCUUUUGAUUUUAAAAUAGCUUUAACUCUUCCUGGCAUAGAUUCAACAAGUGUUCUAUUAAGUACUACUGGCUUAAGGUUAUUCCAUGCAGCAUUGAUUAUGGACAUCCCAUAGGUUUUCUUUACUUGUGGGAUCAUGUCUCACUUUCCCUCGUUUCAAAUGAUCCCAUAAAUUCUCAAGAGGAUUUAGGUCCCGAGAUUGAGAAGGAAAAUCCAUAACAACCAGAUCACCUUUCUCUUGCUUCCUUCUUCAAUAAUUUUUACACAUGUGAGAAGUGUGUUUGGGAUCAUUAUCCCGCGUUGCAAGACAAUUCCCCUAUCCACACAACCUUAAGCUAGAUGGUAUGGCUUGUCUUUGAAGGAUGGAGUGAUAUUUUUGUUUCGUAAAAAUUAUUUAAUAAUUAGGGAGCAAGAGAAAGGUGAUCUGGUUGUUAUGGAUUUCUUCCUCAACCUCCAGACCUAAAAUCCUAUAAAUCCUUUUGAGAAUUUAUAAUUAUGGGAACAUUUCAAACGAGAGAAAGUGAAACAUAAUCCUACAAGUAAAGACAACCAACCUAUGGGAUGUCAUGGAUCAAUAAUGCCGGAAUAACCUUAAACCAUCACUACUAUAAGAAAACUUGUUGAAUCUAUGGCUAUGACAGGAAGAAUUGAAGCUGUUUUAAAAUCAAAAGGAGG